rnacentral:lncRNA from 1 species
GCCACCAACCUCACAACGCUCUCCUCCUCCGCCGCCUAUAGAACGUCCCGUUCAGUCUCCACCUCCACCUUCACCGCCUUCAGAGCGUCCUGUUCAGUCUCCACCUCCACCUUCACCGCCUUCAGAGCGUCCUAUUCAGUCUCCACCUCCAUUUUCACCGCCUUCAAGUCGUCCCCCUUCAUCUCCUCCUUCUCCUUCGCCGCCUUCAGAUCGUCCCAUUCAGUCUCCUCCUUCACCACCAGAAAACACCAGUCCACCGCCUUCAGAUUCUUUGCCACCACCAACAUUCUCUUCUCCUCCGGUACCAGGUCCCAAUAAUCCACCUCAAAACAACCUUACUCCUAGUUCUCCUGAUACUUCAAAUCCAACUCAUAGUACUAGUGGCAUCGGUACUGGACCUAUCCUUGGCAUCACCGUCGCAGUGGCGCUUGUGGUGUUCAGUCUCAUUGGCCUCCUUAUCUGGUGCAUAAGAAGACGAGAAAAACGGCUUUCAGCUGUUAGUGGUGGCUACGUCACACCAUCACCAAGAUCAGGUACUACUUUGAUUAACAUGUCACUUUUGUUUCUUACAUAAUGCCAUUUCUUGAUCUCUCACUACACAUGCACAGACUCAGCUUUCUUUAGAACGCAGUCAUCUGCACCAGGGAGUCAUCGCACGUACUUCUCACAGUCACAAUCAGGCGGGUUAGGCAACUCAAAGGCCUUGUUCUCGUACCAAGAACUUGUCAAGGCAACGAACGGGUUCUCGGAAGAGAAUCUAUUAGGAGAAGGUGGAUUUGGUUGUGUAUAUAGAGGGGUGUUACCAGAUGGGAGACUCGUAGCUGUGAAACAGCUUAAAGUAGGUGGAGGACAAGGUGACCGUGAGUUCAAAGCUGAGGUUGAGACGCUUAGCAGAAUCCAUCAUCGUCAUUUGGUUUCCAUCGUGGGACAUUGCAUCUCUGAUGACCGUAGAUUGCUUAUUUAUGAUUUUGUCUCUAACAAUGACCUUUACUUCCACCUUCAUGGUUAGUAAAAAAGCAUUUUACAAUUCAUAUAUACAUGGAUGCACACACCACUGGUACUUACAUUACGUCUUCUGAAUAGUAUCCAAAGAGGUUCUGGACUGGGCAACACGAGUUAGAAUCGCUGCUGGUGCAGCUCGUGGACUAGCUUACCUCCAUGAAGAUUGUAAGUUGCUUCUCACCUCACUGGUUUUAACCUUUUCAGUCAUUUUUUCUUGCUUUUGAUUGUAACCUUUUAAACCAUUUGGCUAUUCUUACUGAGCUGUCUAUUGUCAGGUCACCCGCGGAUCAUCCACAGGGACAUUAAGUCGUCUAACAUUCUUUUAGAGGACAACUUUGAUGCUCGGGUAACACAUUACUCCCCCUAUUCUUGAUUUUUCAAGGUUUUAGUUACAUGGUGACUAGUGCCGGUCCUGAGAUUUGGGGGAGGCUUCAGGUGAUUUAGUAAAGGUUUUGAAUAAUUUUUUUUUUUACAAAUUUGGGAAACUAUAUCUAUAUAAUUCGUUUCAAAAAAUUUGUGGGCUUUAGGCUAAUGUUUCACUAGGCUAUGCCCAAGACCGGCUCUAAUUAUUGGUGAAUUUGACAAUAUCUAAACCUCUCACUCUCUUGUAGGUUUCUGACUUUGGUCUUGCAAGAUUAGCUCUUGAUUGUAACACUCAUAUCACCACAAGGGUUAUGGGAACAUUUGGGUACAUUCUUGCUUGCCUAGUUUUGAUUAAAGGGCACAAGAUUGGCAUCUACUUGAUAUUUUUUUUACCUCAUUCAUCCUUUUGCAGCUACUUGGCUCCUGAAUAUGCAUCAAGUGGGAAACUAACAGAGAAAUCAGAUGUAUACUCCUUUGGAGUUGUUCUUCUUGAGUUAAUCACUGGACGUAAACCUGUUGAUACAUCUCAACCACUUGGAGAGGAGAGCCUUGUUGAAUGGGUACACCUUCUAUUCCAACCUUACUUAACCUGUAAAACAUGAUUAGUCCUUGAGCUGUUUCCCAGCUCUGUUGUUGUUCAGGCACGGCCACUGAUAAGUCAUGCCAUCGAAACCGAGGAGUUCGGUUCUUUAGCAGACCCUAAGCUUGGAGGAAACUAUGUGGAUUCCGAAAUGUUUAGAAUGAUUGAAGCAGCAGGAGCCUGCGUGCGCCAUUCAGCUGCCAAGAGACCCCGGAUGGGUCAAGUACAUAACAUUUUCUCUUCUUGUUUACUCUCAAGAGUUUUUUACUUUUGCUUAGAAAUUUGAAAUGUUUUUAUUGGCAGAUUGUGAGGGCUCUUGAGAGUUUAUCUGCGGAAGACCUCACUAAUGGGAUGAGACUAGGUGAAAGCGAGGUCUUUGACUCAGCUCAACAGUCAGCAGAGAUCAGAUUGUUCAGAAGAAUGGCUUUUGGUAGCCAAAACUACAGUACAGAUUUUUUCACACAUACUAGCUACAACAGCAGAGACCAAAACGUGUAAAUAUCAUACACAAGAUAUGUUUUUUUUUAUCUUCUCGGCGUUAAGAGGGAACAAAACCCAUCAAGAACAGCUAAGUUUUGUCUGAAAAGCUCCCAAGCUCACUUUCUUGAGUGCUCAAAACAGUAUGAAUCUCCUUUUGUUUCUUUGUUUACUCUUAACUUGUGUUCAUGUUCUUGUGUCCAUAUGGUGAAACUAAAGAGACUACCAAAUACAAUUUGCAGAAACAGACGAGCAUGUGGUAGAGGAAGAUGAGGAAUAAAGGUUUACUUAUGUUCUUGAGCAAGAGGGUUUUGUUUCUUACAUGAAAGCACUUUUUGUAUCUAUUUUUUUUUAUGUUUCUAAUUUUUUUUUAAAUCUUUACCUUCAAGUUUUAUGAUAAAUCAACAAGGAUCUUUCUGUGUCUCGUUGAAGAACGUGUUGAUCUGGCUCAAGUUAUACAUCUAAGAAGACGCAUUUACCCCUAUGAAUCACCAUGAUGGAGAGUAUAAUCAAAGGAACGUAGGAAACAAAAGAAUCUUAGUUGCUUUGACGUCCAAGAUACCUAAACAAUGCUUUUUUAAAGUGUAAAGAUCCCUUGUGGAUUUUCAUACAGUUAUGAGAAAAAACAAACACAUGGGAUGUUGCUUUGCGUUGCAUUGUUGAUACCAAUAUUGGCAAAGGAACACAUUCCUUUGACACAAUCCUAUGUAACCUCUCAAUCUAUGUUUCCUCCUUCCUUUAUAUCUUUGUUGUUUUACCUUAACAGUUUUCAAUGCAUCAAAAACAAUGGAACAAGAUUGUGGUGCUUUUACAGCAGAUUGUGUUGUCCUCUGUUGCUGCUGUGAGUGCUUUAUCCUACAGUUCUUUAUCUUCGUCUUCUACAAGAUGCCUUCUAAAGUUGCUCACAAGAUGAAGAGGUUUGUCAUCAGGAGGCUGCUCAGAGGAAAGAAGAGAAGAUUGCUGCCUGCAAAGGAUGAGGAUUGCAGAGAAGAGGAGCGUUUGCCUGGUGAUGUCUCCAGAGUUAGUUGCAUGGAAGAUAUUGAGGAGAUGUUGCAUGAGCUCUCCAUGGAGGGAGAGUUUGUAUUUGGGAGUUUCUGGCGUCAAGGAGAGACUACAAACGAUUUUGACUUCGGAAACUCACAAUAUGAAAUAGAAGAAACCAAUGAUCAUUCCUUUGUCAUUGCUCAUCACACAAGAUGUCUUCAUUGCUCUAAGAAUGACAAUAUAUUAAAGGAAUCUUGAAAGAGCCAAAGAGAAAAGACUUAGAUGCUAUCUCUCUACUAGAAGUAUGGUGUAUAAUCUUCAGAGUUCACUGUAAGAAUCUACUUUGUUAAUCAGGCAAGGCGCUCAAGAAUCAGAAUGUACAACUGGUUAACAGUCUAUUUACGUCCUGGCAAGUCGGUUGUAAAAUGGUUAACUCAUGAUUCAGGCUCUGACCUCCUCACUGAUCUCUUUUUAGCUUCUAAUCUUGCGGUGAACCCAACUGUUGUAGGCCUUAUUGAUCUUUGCCUCACCAUAUCACAGUACUCAGGGUCAUUACACUGACCCUCAUACCUCAGCCACUGUAUCAUCCCAUGGUACAUUGGGAAGAACCUCAUCUGAACCGCGGAGUAGAUGAAGUAAGGCAGCAAAGUAGAUACAACCACAAAGAGAGUGAUGACCCAGUAAGAAAGCGACGGCGCCAGAGCUUCAACAAAGACUCUAUACGCACUGGUUGAUAUACUCGCUGGAAGCUCUCCGUAGACGGUCAUGAAGAGGUACCAAACGAGGAUGGAUCCCCAAAUGACAAUGUGCUGGAUGAGUGUGAAGUAACUGAUGGCUAAUGCCAUCUGCAAGUUCACAACCCAGACGAUGCAUGUGUACAUUGUCCCUCCUAAUAUCUCUUUCCCAGGGGUUUUGCCUUGGUGGUUGAAAGCUUGUGGCUCAAGAGAGCUUUUGCAGAGGAAGAAGAUGAUUACUGCGCUGUAGAAUCCGUUGAACAUCCAUCCAAGUAUCCUCCGCCAGCUGAAGAGAACGUUUUGCACACCUUCUUGGUAUAACAGUGGAAACUGUGAAUCCAAAGACAAAACAAAGAGUUUAGUACACAUUGUUUAAUACUCUCUCCGUUCCCGAAAGAAUAUAUUAAAAAUACAAUAUAUGGUUACAAUUAAAUUUAUUAUUUAUUUUUACUAUACACUUUCCAAUAACUAUCAACCAAUGAUAUUUAAUCAAUUUAAAUAAGUUUAAUUAAUAUUUCUUAAUUAUAUACAAAAGUACUUUAAAAAUAUUGAAAAUCUAGUAUUUAUGGAACAAGAGGGAGUAUGUCAGAAGAGUAAAGCUGUUUUAAUGUAAUGAAAGAAGUUUACCUUGAGACAGUACCGUGCAGAUACAUCUUGGUCGAAGACACCAAGAGCAAUAACCGGAAGGGACGAGAAGCAAACAUUGUAAAGAGAUAGGAACCAAUCGUUGUAAGCAGGUGUUGAUGAGAAUGUUGUGUAUGCUUCAUACAAGAAGAGAGUGAAACCAAACGUAAUGUUCUUGUAGAAGAAGUAGCAAAUCUGUGAAACAGAGAAAACUACUGUCAAGAUUAUGUUAAAGAGACUCAUGUCACACGCACACUAAAGUGGGUAUAUACCAUUGUUGAGAUACGCCUGUAACACCAGUGUCCAUGGACUAAUAACAAACGUUCCAGAUAUCUAAACUGAGCAAUCGCAAUGUCACUUGACAUUACAGCCUGCAUGCCUUCCACACCGCUGAUGCCCACACCAAUAUCUGCUUCUUGAAGCAUCCCAACAUCAUUUGCGCCAUCACCAAUAGCUAAUGUUGUUUUACCAUUUCCAGAUUUUACUAGCCUUGUCACCUACAUUUGCCAUGUACUUCUUGAGAAAAAUCUUGACAGUAAACAAAAGUUUAAACCAAAGAAACUGACCAGAGCUUUCUGUUUUGGUGAUGAACGACAGCAAAUGACAGAAGCACAACCAACGGCGAGCUCUAAGAAGAUGUGUUUUAUAUCAUCGUCCAAGGCGUAAGCAAGUGACUUCCCAUCAAUGAUCAAAGCAAAAGCAUCAGAGUUCCCACCAGCAUACUUUAGCUGAGUCUUUCCAUUGAUUAUCUGCAAUAAGACAUUCUCUUUUGAUGCCUGCAAGAUCAAACCAACCACUUUGAUUCAUUUUAUCUUACAUAAUCUUCUGAAGAACUAUCAAUGUUUUUUUUAAAAAACCUUAGCAAUGGCAUCUUUCUCUCCAGUUUUCUCCAGUGAGUGGAUCUCAGGGGUCUCCAAGUUGAUUAUGAUCUGCUUCAUGUCUUGUCUGAGUAAACUACUGGCAAAGCUGUCAAAGAGACGCAUACAAAAGAGUUCAUAGAGUGGAGAGAAUAAACAAACAAAAAAAACUAUAUACAUGAACUCAAAGAGUAGGUGAUACCCAGAAAAAUAGAUACCCAAUAUUGAUAGCAGUCUCCAUUUUGUCACCAGUCAAAACCCAAAUCUUGAUUCCUGCUUGUGCUAGCUUGUCAAUGCAAUCAGGGACCUGAAAAAAAUCAAUGUUAAAAGUGUUUUCAAUACACUAAAAUGAUUAUAUGUAUAACAUCAGUGGCCAUGCUUACUCCAUUUUGGAGUUUAUCCUCAACAGCGGUAGCUCCAAGAAGGAUCAAGUCUUUCUCAACUUUCUCCGUGACUUCCUCUAUCAAUGAUUCUCUAUCAGCACUAACCGAGCUCUUUGCUUCACUGAUUCUCACACUAAAAUCUUUGUAUUCUUUCUCGUCGAGUUCACGGUAUGCAAGUAUCAAAGUUCUAAGGCCUGCAUCAGCAUACUCGUUGACAUGGUCCCUUGUUUCCACCUCAAACUCUCUACCGUUCUUAGAAAGUCUCUCAAACAUAACACUGGUCAAAGAAACAAAAUAAGUUCAAAAAAGAAGAUAUGUUUUUUUUUUAAUAAAGUCACACUUACUUGUCUGCUCCUUUACAAAGUAGUAAGAGCUUCCCAUCUUCAUCCUGCACUAUCACCGACAUUCUCUUCCUUGUGCUGUUGAACUCAAGAACGUUCAGCACUUUGUACAGCCUCUCAACUCUUUUGCCAGUCACAAGAUCAAGCUCUCUUACAGAUAUACUAGUUUGAGUUCUGUUAUAAAACUCAAACCCAAGCUCCCUUGCUGCAAUAACAAAAGCUGCUUCAUCAGGAGACUCAGCCUCAUAAGAGAUCUUCUCUGUGUCCUCAUCCCCUUCAGGUAUCACCGUAUGGCACACCGCAAGCAAUCUCAAAAACUUCUGAAUAACAUCAGCGUGAGGUUCAGUGACCCAGUUCCCAUUCAUUAUCCUCUCAUCUCUAAAAUUAAACCCUUUCACCUUGGCCUCUUCAGCAAACGGUUCCUUAUUGUACUCCACAUCAUCGCUCUGAAGCACCAGAGGAGAGCCUUUCCUCCUUCCCAUAGCCAUCUCAACCUCAGUGACGCCGCGUCCGUAAGCCGUCCCGGCGACAGAACACUUGAUGAACUCCAUGGAGUUGCAAGUCAAUGUCCCAGUCUUGUCGGAGAGGAUUGUAUCCACCUGACCAAGCUCCUCGUUUAAAUUAGAGGUUCUUGCACGAGCCGGCUUGUUGGCUUCCUCGUAGUACAUGUGGAUGUCUUGGUUGAUGAAGAUGCUCUGAAGGACUUUAACAAUCUCUAUCGAGACAUACAAAGAUAUUGGAAUGAAGUAGCUGUACAGCAUAGCCGCUGUUAGGAAGUGAUAGAAGGCAGCAACAUGAGCUCUCUUGGGGUCAAAGAAGAUAGAUGAGCUGUCUGGUCUCAAGUACCAUCUCUUCACCACACUGUCCUUGAAGUCAUCUCUCGUUGUGACUCCAAAGAUGACUGAGCCAAUGAAUGACAUCAGAACCACCAUGAAGAACAUGAGGUAGAUGAUCUUAUCCAUCUUUCUCUCAAUCAUGCUUCUCUUGGAAGGAGGAUCCGUUGAGUUCUGUAUGACCUUUGUGUCGUGACCGGUGAAGAUAACCGCGCCGAAGAUGAACUCCGUGUUCCUGAGCUUUGAGUCUCUGAGGAGAAGCUGCUGAGGCGAGAGAGGGUACUUGGUUCCUUUGAGCUCCAUGGUUCCGACAAAGGAGUACAAGUUGGCGUUUGGAUCCUCGCAUUUGACAAAAGCCUCAAAGCCCUUGAAGUUAAAGUCUUCCCUCAAGGAGGAAGUGACUUCUAGUCCUUGUUUGACUUUGAGAUUGGUUUCGCCGUCUAGGUUCAUCGUCUCUACGUAGCAGAUAGCGUCCUCGUAGCUAGAUGAAAGGAGAACAAGAUCUGCAGGGAAGAACUGGUUCUUUUCUACCUUCACUAUGUCUCCGACGCUUAAAGUCUUCCACUCCUUGGAAUCAAAGUUCCCAUCUCCUCUAUGCACUUUUACUCUCCUAUUAUUCACCUCAAUAUCCUAAUAACAUGAAAAUGCUUGUAUCUUUCAGACAAGAUCAAGAAAAAGACUAGUCAUGGGCAUAUUAUCCGAAACCCGAAAACCGAACUGGAGCUGAACCGAAUAAACAAAACCAAAACCCGACCAAAGUUUACAAAAACUCGAACGGUUCCUAUUUCUCUAUUCUCUACAAAAAAAAAUGGAAACCCAACCUGAAACCGACAUUAUCCGAACCCAUCCGAUCCAAAAGAUUCUAUAUUUGCAAAUACUCUCGGAAUAAGAAAUCAGUGUAGGCAGCGUCUAGGCGCCGCUUAGUGGAUAAAUCGGAUCUGAAUGAAACGAUAUUUUCAAUCCAUUCUUUUAAAAAGAAAUUGGUCUAGAUGUUCAAAAAAUCGUUCUUGGCAAUAAUUCUCUAUGAUGCGCCUAACCACUACUUAGCGCGAUUUAUUGAACAUUAAACAAGACCAUAAUUAAGAUUGCAAGAAACUAAAGAAUCAAAGAGUGUACCUGCUUGUUGCGGCGCCAAUCUUCAACACCUUCUUUAACCAUAGUAGCACCAAUAACGAAAAGGAGAGGAAAAAUGGCACUUGCAGCAGUGUAAGGAGCCAAGGGAGUGAAAGACAAGACGCCAGUGACCAAGAAGUAGAAGUUUGCGACUCUUCUGAACUGCUCAAAGAGCGAUUUUGGUAAGAAAGUGGCGAGAGUGUACUUGGUUGUUCUCACGUAGUUGUCGCUGUAGCUGCUCGAGUCAGCUUCGGGUGAAUCAGGCUCGUUGAUGAAGACGAGACGAGAGUAACCGGGUCCUCCGAUUUGAGAGUGGUCUUGCUUGAAAAACGCUUGAGUGCAUGUGAGUGUGUAGAGCUUGCUUAAGUGGAUUCUUCUCCUUCUUCGUCUCUUUAGUCCACUUCCUGCCAUUGAUAGAGAGAGAUCUGCAGGAGACAACAAAAAACUUUGAAUCUUUUUUGGAUAUUCAAGAAACCCUGAAAAUUAUAUUCAGACAGAACCGAAUUAUUAUAAUAACACCCGCGAGAACAUUUUAAAAAUGAAGAAAAAUAAAAGUAUCAUUUUUUGGCUUUUUUAAAUUAAAAGAAAAAGAAAAGAAAAAAAAAAGACAGUAAGCGAUUAAGGCAGGACCUCAAACCAACCGAGGAGAAAAGCAGACAAGACCGUGACUGGUUUUAUUCUCCGACCUCGUUUUCUGCGACUCUCUCCGGUUACCUAAAUUUGUUUUUUUUCUUUCUCGGGAAAAUGGAUUUAGAAAAAUUGAGUGAGUGAGAGAGCUGAGAUCAAGAAGGGUGUUUACGAAAGGUUGUGAUCUAUUAUGAGAAAGUUAAGAUCUUUUUAAUCUUACAAGCCAAGAAAAUGGAGCUUGAGUGAGAGAGAUCUCAUGGAUUUUUAUGAAUUUAUAGCCAGAAUGAUCUUCUGCCAAUCCAAACAAACUGGGAAGACGAAGAGGACGAGGAAGAAAGAAACAGAGAGAAAGUGCCAAGAUUCGGACAAGUCAUGGUUCCCUUUCUAGAAAUAAUUAAUAAUAAUGUUUGAUGGAAUAACAACAGCAAAUCUCAAAUCCUCUCAUAAAAAAAAAUAAUAAUUAAAAGCAUUCAAUAGAAGGAAACAAACUUUUGCUCUGUGUACAGACAGAACACAGAAAACUGGACUUCUUUUUUUUUUUUAAUUUGUAUGUUCUAAUGAUUGUCAGAUUAUCAGAAGAACAUACGAGAAAAAAAAAAAGAAGUGAGAAUUAAUUUUGGUUAGAGAGGGGAGAGAUGAAGAAGGAGAAGAAUCGAUUGGAGGAACAUUAGAUGCGCCGUCGUGGCUGAGAGAAGGUGAGACCAGCACACAAAAUGCGGGUCAAACACACUUUAAAUUCAUCUAUUGCAUGAAUGAAUUCUUCUUAUUAUUAUUUAAUAGUAUAGAUAUUCUCUCUUUAUUACUUCCUCCCUUUCGAUAUAAAUGAUGUCUCAGGUGAUUUUUUUUAUUUCAUAAUAGAUGAUAUUUUCACGUAACAAUAGAUGAUGUUUUCACAUAUCUAAUUAAUUUUAAUUUUAUCAAAAACUGUGUAGCCAAUUGUGUUUUUAUUAUUUUUGUUUAUAAUUAAAUAAAUUAGUUUUAAAUUAUAUUUUAAUGAUUUUUGUCUAGAAAAUAUAAUUUUUUUAAUAUGUGUGCAAAGAACCAAAACUUUAUCUAUUAUGAAACGGAGGGAGUGGUAUAUAAGUGACUCUUGCAGCAAAGGAUUGAUCCUUCUGGUAUAACCCAACCAUAAAUAGGAGGACUGUACAUUUAAUUAGAGUAAUUAAAAUGUGAUAUUAUUCUAUUUUUAAACCAUUAUAUUAUAUAUGCUCAUAUUACUUUUCUUCAUUUUCUCUUUGACUAAUAAUAUAUAUAAUGAGUACAACUCUAUAAAAAUGGAAUAAUUAAAUAUAAGAUGUUCUUAUGUUGAUUGCAAAAGUUCAUAUUAUAAUGAGAGUACUGAUGAACGAAGGUAGUCACGUCACAUAAGACUCACCAAAAGCACAUUAAAAUCGAUCUUCCAGUCAUAUUAUUAAGUUGAUCCGAUCCCACCAGACAAAACCCCAGUCUCGAGAUCAUAUGGAGAUAUCUUUUUUUAUGAUACUGUUGGAUUGCUUAUAGACUAUAGUGAAGGGAAUUUUUAGCUAACUCAAUCAGAUCCGAUCCAAUACAAGAAUGGAUGGUAGUUCAAACAAUUUAGAUAAAUGAAUUUAAACAUGGAAGAUCAUGAAUGUCAACAUAUCAUAUGCACAUUUUUGUUUGGUUUAAAAUUCAAAAUCCCACAAACACUCAAUUUAUCAUAAUAGUGCUAAUAAUGAAAUAUUUUUUUGCUCAAUGAGUUGGGGGAAGGACUUUAUAUUCUCAAGAAUUUGGUAUGGGUUAUUAGGGGACUUUGGAUUUAAUGCAUAAAACAUGCCACCGGCUUUGUAUAGUUUGGUAUGCAUCAUUUAUUGAAUGAAUGUGGCUUUCAAGUUUCAACUAAAUGUACUUCCUGGUUCACAAAUACCUCAUAAUUUAUUAAAAUGAAAAUUGAACAAUUAUAUUGAUUCAUAUCGUUAGUUUUGCUCUGUUUGAAACGCUAAUGCAUGCAAUUAAUCAACUUCCUCUUGGUGACAAAAAAUAAAUAAACUAAACGUCUGUUUCUGCCUUUCUAGGUAUCACUUAUGUAGAGGCAUACUUUUUGUUUGCAGCCUCUUAGGUUUUCUCCUGUUUUAGCCAUUACUAUGCUACAGCAAUGAAAGGUGUGUAAAAUCUAUAAUAGAUUCUAAAGAUCACGAUCAAUUAUUUUAUGCAUUUUGUUUCAUGCACACGCAAUCAUCGUAAUACCUAAUAGCGCUGGGAAUUUGAGUUUACGGUUCGGGUUAAGUCGGGUUAUUCGGGUUUCAAGUUAUUGAGGUUGUGGUGUUUAGGACUCGCUCAUGAACCGAACAUUUUUUUGGAUAGGGUCAGUUUUGGUCGGGCUCCUAUCUUUUUAUAAAACCCAAAACAUAACCGAGAAUUAGAAAUUGUUCGGAUUUAGUGUGUGGCGUUUGAUUUUGACUGCGAGGGAUCUUCCGCCGGAAUGGUUUCCGCACGACCCGGAGUGGACUUCUUCCAUUAUUCUUCGAGCUUUCUCUCCCUCUACGCAGGUCAUGAGUGGCCCGGAAAAUCUCCACUUGUAGAGUUCUCCGUCGACCAAGACGUAUCGCGCGGAUUGGGUCUUAAUCUUUCGGGCUGCCCAUUUUUCUGCCGGGAGUUUCCGUCGGCGAUGUAUGCGAGGAUAGAUUAUGUCCAAGGUUUACUGAAUCCAUACUCGGACAGCUCUGGAUCCUGCACUGCCUGGAUGUCGACUUCGUCGGGAUCGCCGUCGGGUGAAUCGAUUAAGUUUAUAAUGACAAGAGGCCCGAUGCUAGGAUGCUCUAUGAACUCUAUGGGAAUUACCCUGCUCAACCCCGGAUCUGAACUAGACGCCAAGGCGGCUAGGGCGUCGACCUGAACGUUUUCGGCACGAGGGAUCCGAGUGAGAGCGAACUGAUCGAAACUUUGAACCAAGUUUUGAACAAGAUUUAGGUAAGCAUCCAUUCUCUCGUCCCUUGCUUCGUAUUCCCCGUUGUAUUGGCUUGCUACAAGUUGGGAAUCGCAAUAGGCGUGAAUGCUGCGUAUCUUCAGGCCGUGAGCCAAUCGUAAGCAUGUGAUUAGGGCUUCGUACUCGGCUUCAUUGUUUGAGGCGUGGAACACUAGUCGAAAUGACUGUUCAGCACUUCCCCACAAACUUGACUAGCAAUUACAGCCAUAUACUUUGUUAUUACGUCCAUUGACUACCAUUUUACAGUCAUAGACUUCAUUACGUUUAUUGACUUACGUGUGGUAUACUUUUUUAUUAAUAAAUUAUACUUUAUAUAUAAUUAUUUUAAAAUUAAAUAAAUAAUAUUGUUUUGUAUUUUGGAUAUUCGAUUAUUUGUUCGAUUUCCGAUGGUUCUAGUUUUUUGGGCUUAGAGAAAUAAAAACUGUUCGGAUUAUUAUAAAUUUUGGUUUGGUUUCAGUUUUGCUUUUUUCUGAUUUGGUUAUAGUUCUGUUUUGGGGUUUUGGAUAAUAUACCAUAUUAAGUAAAUCAUCUUAACGUCGUUUUAGCUAAAUCACUUUCCUAAAUUUUAGUAGAGUUAAACAAUGUUCAAGCUCAUUUUAAAGAUCAGUCCUGUGAUUAAAUUUGUUGACGAUUGUUCGUCGUCAGCGAAUAUCGUUGAUGCUAGUUUUUAUAGUGUGCAUGGAUAUGCUGUAGGCGUUUUAAACGUUUAAGAAUAAACUUGACUCAUCUUGAGUUUGGGAUCUAGUUCCUUUCUUUGAUAUUUGUUUGCGGCCAAGCAUUACAAUAACAUGAAGGGAGUUUGGAAGACAUAACAAAAUCUUUCCUAGUGGUGCUCAAUUAUAAUACAAAUGCGCGCGAUUGACCCCAGGGGAGGGGGGGAGAUUAUUGGGCCAUAUUGGACCGAUGUAUCUAUUGUAAGUAGCCCGGUUCAUAUUACGGGAUUAGGGCAAAAGAACAUACGUUGUAUAUAAGCAGUUAGUCUGCGUUACUUGAUGAAUAAGAAGUAUCCUUUAUACUGCUGAGACUUCUUGACAUGGUAUCAGAGCAAGAAGCCUAAGUACUACAAGUUUUCUUGGCUCACUGAUUUUGAGAUCUCUUUAUCCGUUGCGAGGUUUGAUAAGUUAACAACUUCUCUUUGAAGCAAAGUAUAUAUGGCUGGUACUACAAUGACGAAGGGGCGACGUACAAUUUCGCCCUAUGACCUUACUUCUGGCGAUAACACAGUGACUGUCAUUGCCAAACCGCCUUUGCGUGGAUCUAACUACGACGAGUGGUCCACAGACCUUAAGUUAAAGAAAUUUGGUUUUGCGGAUGGGACAAUACCGCAACCCAGUGAAGAUUCAGAGGAUUAUGAAGAUUGGAUCGCAAACAAUGCACUUGUGGUAUCUUGGAUGAAGUUGACGAUUGAUGAGAACAUCUCAACUACCAUGUCUCAUAUCGAUGACUCUCAUGAACUCUGGACUCAUAUACAGAAUCGUUUUGAUGUUAAGAAUGGACAACGCGUUCAACGUCUUAAGACUGAUCUAGCGAACUGUAGACAGAAGGGAACUGUUAUUGAGACUUAUUAUGGGAAACUGUCUCUGUUAUGGAGGAGUUUAGCUGACUACCAAAAGGCUAAAAUUAUGGAAGAAGUAAGAAAAGAACGUGAGGAAGAUAAGUUGCAUCAAUUUCUCAUGGGGCUCGAUGAAACACUAUAUGAAGCAGUUAAAUCAUCAUUGUUGUCUCGUGUGCCUUUGCCAACGCUUGAGGAAGCGUACAACACUUUGAUUCAAGAUGAAGAAUCAAAACUAUUGGGACGCAUGAAUGAAGAACGCACUGACACUGUGAGUUUUGCAGUCCAAGCUGGCUCACGAUCGCGCCCUUCUAAUGAGAAUAGAGGAUUUUCUGAAAACAAAGUCUGUUCAAAUUGUGGUCGCAAGGGACACACGUCGAAGAACUGUUUUCGCCUAAUAGGAUAUCCAGAGUGGUAUGAAGAGAAACACAAGAACAAGCUGGGUUCCUCUCGCGGCAAUUUGAAUUCUGGUGCUGGGCGUGGCUCGAAUAUGCAAGGUGGUGUUUCACAAGGAAGGGGUAAUGGUGCUGGUCGGAGCUCUGCUCAGGCGAGUCAUGUUUUUGCGGGUGGAGCUUCAUCAUCUCCUUCUCUUACUUCAGCUGAUCGAAUGGGCAUAAGUGGACUGAGUGAUUCUCAGUGGAAGACACUUGUUCACAUGCUCGAGGAAAGAAAAACCACACCUAUGGAGCAUCGCUCUGGUAAGCAAUUUCUUGAAUCAUGGAUAUUUGAUUCUGGUGCGACUAAUCAUAUGACUGGAUAUUAUGAGUAUUUGUCUGAAGUUGGUGAUAUGGCUCCUGUUUUAAUCAAACUUCCGGAUGGUCGUUUUACUACUUCGACUAAACACGGAUACGUUCGUUUGGGUUCUUCUUUGAGCCUGCAGGAAGUAUUCUUUGUAGAUGGACUUCAUUUUCAUCUAAUAUAUGUUUCUCAGUUGACUCGAGACAGUGGUUGUGUUUUUCAAGUUACUGACAAGCUUUGUAUUCUUCAGGAUCGCAUCACGAGGAUGCUGAUUGGUGUGGGUGAGCAGGACAAUGGGCUUUAUUUUUUUAGAGGAUUGGAAAUGGCAGCAGCAGUACACGGUCAGAUUCGAACUCGACCGAUGUGUGGCACAGUCGCCUUGGACACCCCUCCUCUAAAGCCUUAAAGAUGUUGCAGUUUUCUGAUUUCAGUACUAGUUCUUUUGAUUCAAAGCUGUGUGAGAUUUGUAUUCGAGCAAAACAAACAAGAUAUUCUUUUCCUUUAAGCAUCAAUAAGACGAGUUUUGCAUUUUAACUGGUUCACUGUGAUCUUUGGGGUCCGUAUAGGACUACUGCAAUCUGUGGAUCGAGAUAUUUUCUCUUUGUUCUAGAUGAUUACUCUUGGGCAGUGUGGAUAUAUCUCUUACCUUCAAAACAAGAGGCACCCACGCAUCGCAAAAACUUCAUCGCUUUGGUUCAGAGACAAUUCUCGAUUCAAGUAAAAACAAUUCGUAGUGACAAUGGAUCCGAAUUUGUUUGUCUCUCACGUUUCUUUGCGGAACAUGACAUCAUCCAUGAGACAAGCUGUGUGGGUACUCCACAACAAAACGGACGGGUUGAACGGAAACACAUGCACAUACUUAAUACUGCACGUGCGCUGAGGUUUCAAGCGAACCUCCCCGUUGAUUUCUGGGGUUUAUGUGCUCUUACUGCUGCAUACCUUAUAAACAGAACACCGACAAAGCUUCUUCAAGGGAAAACGCCGUUUGAGAUGAUUUAUCACAGAUCACCACCAAUGGAUCAUCUCCGAGUAUUUGGUUAUGUUUGUUACGUUCAUAACCAAAAGCAUAGAGGUGAUAAAUUUGAAAGUAGAAGCAAUCGAUCAAUAUUUAUUGGGUAUCCUUUUGCAAAGAAAGGAUGGCGUGUCUACAAUUUAGAGACCGAUGUUGUAUCAGUCUCACGGGAUGUGGUAUUUCUCGAAACAGAGUUCGCGUAUCCACCAACAUCGAUCUCUUCUCCGACUGAUGAUGAACCUGAUCAGCCUACUGCAGCUGAUCCGAAUGAUCUAGACUCUCUAGUUAGAGAGAGUGCAUCGCCUAUUCCUACUACUGGAACGAUGCUCCCCUUGCUAUUGCAGCUGAUGUAGCUCAACCUAUUCUUGCAGAUGCUGGAUCUUCUUAUGUCAUCAUUGACGAUAGCGACGAAGUGGGAACUGUGUCUCUGCCUUCGCUUGUUCUUACUCCUGAACCGGUGGUAGUUGCGCCUCCUGUUCAUACUACUGAAGAAGCUACUUCUGAAUAGGAACCUGAACCUCUUGGCCGAGGUUUUAGAUAGAAGAAGCCACCUACAUGACUUGCUGACUAUGUAGCAACAUUGUUACAUGAACUGACACUUUCGGCUACUCCAUAUCCUCUUGAAAAUUAUCUUUCCAGCGAGCACUUCUCAAUGAAUUAUCAAGCGUUCCUUGCUGUGAUAACUUCUGCUGUUGAACCACAGACUUACGCAGAGGCAAUCAAAGAUGAAAAAUGGAGAUUUGCAGUAACUCAUGAAAUUGAUUCUCUUGAAGAUCAAGGUACAUGGACAGUCGAAGCCUUACCUCCUGGAAAGAAAGCACCUGGUUGCAAAUGGGUAUUUAAAAUUAAAUUCAGAGCAGACGGCACGGUUGAGAGAUACAAGGCUCGGUUAGUGGUUCUUGGGAAUCAUCAAUAUGAAGGCAUUGAUUAUACUGAGACGUUCGCACCUGUCGCAAAGAUGGUUAUGGUCUGUACUUUUCUUCAGCAAGCAGUAUCUUUAGACUGAGAAGUACAUCAAAUGGAUGUUAAUAAUGCAUUUCUUCAUGGAGACCUCGAAGAGGAAGUGUAUAUGCAGUUUCCUCCUGGUUUUCGUACCAAUGACAAAACAAAAGUAUGUCGUUUGUGAAAAUCGCUUUAUGGCUUAAAGCAAGCGCCUCGAUGUUGGUUCGGAAAAAUUGCGGCUGCUUUGAAAGAGUAUGGUUUCGAAAAAAUCAUUCUGAUUACUCUCUCUUCAUUUAUGCUGCAGCUGGAGUUCGGUUACAUGUACUUGUGUACGUCGAUGAUUUGAUCAUCACUGGAAGUUCUGCUGCGAUUAUCACUGAGUUCAAACAGUAUUUGAGUACGAAAUUUCAUAUGAAGGAUUUGGGAGUCUUGCGAUAUUUUUUGGGGAUUGAAAUUGCUCGCAGUCCCGCAUGAAUUUACUUGUGUCGACGGAAGUAUGCUCUGGAUAUUAUUACAGAAACUGAUCUUCUUGGGGUCAAGCCUGUCUCGUUUCCUUUGGAACAAAAUCACAAGCUUGCUCAUGCCAAAGAUACUCCAUUCUCUGCACCGUCCAGAUACCGUAGACUGAUUGGUCGUAUCAUAUAUCUUGGAGUCACGAGACCAGAGCUUUCGUAUGUGAUACAUUUAUUGUCGCAGUUUAUGAAUGAUCCGCAAGAAGAACAUUGGAAUGCUGCUCUUCGUGUUGUACGAUACCUAAAGAAUAGUCCAAGACAGGGAAUACUUCUUCGUGCAAACACUGAGCUGAAGAUUACAGCAUGGUGAGAUGCGGACUGGGGCACUUGUCCGACCACUCAUCGUUCACUCACGGGAUGGUUCAUGCAAUUAGGAGGUUCUCCGGUAUCUUGGAAAACACAUAAGCAUGAUGUUGUCUCGCGAUCGUCUGCCGAGGCAGAGUACCGCGCAAUGGCUGAUACUGUUAGCGAACUUCUUUGGUUUCGCGGGUUGCUUCCAGAAAUGGGGAUAACGUGUGAUGCUCCUAUUGUUCUCCAUUCAGAUAGUAUGUCUGCAAUUCAUUUGGCCAAGAACCCUGUGUAUCACGCUCGCACCAAGCAUGUUGGGAAUGAUUGCCACUUCAUUCGAGAUGAGAUCAUUCGAGGCACGAUUGCAACUAAACAUGUCUCGACGAAGUCGCAGCUCACGGAAAUUAUGACAAAGGCACUGGGACGUCGAGAGUUUGAAGAAUUCCUUGGCAAGCUGGGUGUUUGUAACCUCCACACUCCACCUUGAGAGGGGGUAUUGGGCCAUAUUGGGCCGAUGUAUCUAUUGUAAGUAGCCCGGUUCAUAUAACGGGAUUAGGGCAAAAGAACAUACAUUGUAUAUAAGCAGUUAGUCUGCGUUACUUGAUGAAUAAGAAGUAUUAUUUAUACUGCUGAGACUUCUUGACAGAGAUGGUUAAGAACGGGAGAAGCGAGAGUAGGUUCAUUUUUGUCAAAAUGUGAUCUAAGGUCUAAUUUUCGUGUCUAGCCAGCUUAUAAACGUCAUUGAAGAAAAUAUAUGUACCUCUGACAUAAAGUGUGUGAUCGUGGAUUCGUGGGUAUAUCUUAGCUUUAGUGUAUUCGAAUUCACGAUAUGUGAAGAUGUACGUGACUUAGAGCAGGAUUAUCGCGGGUUACAAGAAGGGGUUUCAAGUGGUGGGACCCAUUUUUUGGGUUAAAAACGGUAACAGAGGAGAGGAAAUAAGGAUCGACUUUGGUAUAUUUCUUGCACUAUUCAUAGACCCCACUGACACGUGACGACCCGCGAUUGGUGGUCUUUUUAAUUUUUUUUUUUUUUAAUCAGCUUGAAAAAAAAAUGGGAAAAUUUGUGCCUAUGAAAACCUGGUCUUAACCUUAGUUAAUUCUAGAUGAAUGGCCUAGUGCGUCGCUCUCAAUGGAAGUAUUUUAGUUGUUAUUGUGUCACUAGUCGAGUUUAAUAUUAUGAAUUUUUUUUUGACAAUUUUAUUAUAUUUUGAUAAUUGGUACGAAGUGAUAUUUAUGAGGUCAUUUGUUUUUAAUAUUUGUUUUUAAAAUACACAAAAGUACAAUAAAAAUAUUUUGUUUAUUACAAAAGUCAGCAAUAGAAACUAUCAUAAAGUCACAAGGUACAUAUACGCAUAAAUGAAGUAUUACGGGUGAUCUUAAUUUGUAGAAUUGAUCAUCACCAUAUGUAUUAACUCAACUUUUUACUCUGUACGUAUAAACGAUUUGCUUCGUUCACUCUUAGAAUCAGAACUCUAAAAGUUAAUUAAUUGAUCAUAUGUGGUACACUGGUACUUGUCAUUAUGGCACCAAGCGAAUUUCACUUUACGGCGAAUGAGAACGCAUCCGAUUUUUUCAUAUAACUAACGUUUGAAUUGUUUUCGAGCAUGAUUAACCCAGAAUUCUUAGAAUAGGGUUUUUAGCGGAAGUUAAGAAUCUCACUGUAAGAACUCCGAGUUAAUCGUGAUCUUAUGUGGCAUGAAUUAUCUCAGAGUUCAGAGGUCGACUCGUAUUUUAUUAUAAUAUGACAUCGAUGUGUGCUAAUUUAAUAUUUUUUAUUGAUGGCUUAUCCAGUAGUUUAGAAGUUGUUUAAAAAGUUGAGCAAAUAGAUUUUAUAUGAUUCGUAGACCGAAUUCAAGAUUUGGGAUUUUCUCAAAAUAUCUGAAUUUGGGAUAAUUUUGUUUAUUAUCUGGAUAUCUAUACUAAAUUCUUAUGCUUAUAUUCUAACUACCGUGAUAACACGUAAAUAUAUUGUAUAUAUGUCACUUUAUCCAAAUACUUUUAAUGCAUUUGUCUAAACAUGAGAAAGUCAGCAGUCUGCAGUAUUUUCGUAUGCGUUUAAUCCGGUAAAUCGAACUAAUACAAUGUUAACCUAAUUAACAAAUCAAUUCAGAAAACUAAAUAUAUUUGAUUAUGUUUUAAAUAGAAUCAUGUUUUUUCAUUGGGAAUCAAGAUAAAAGUUUUACAAUAUAUAUAUAUAUAUAUUUAAAUUCAUAAAUCAGAAAUCUUAAAAGACAAAAUCUAAGAGGGAACCUAAAUUCUGAUUAAACAACACCGCUAUUUAUUUCUCUUACCGAAACACUCGAGCUGUAUUGUAUGCGUGGUGACCGUUUGGCACGAAAUAAUUUGCAUCUAUUCGUGGGUCGGGUUCACUAGUCAAAGUAUCGAUUGCGUAACUUUUCAAGUUACUGGUCCGUUGAUUUGUGGUAAUUCUUGGCACAUCUAAUCUACGAUAAAUUAAAAUUAGUUUUCUAUUUUAAAGUUGUAAUAUACUAUGAAUUUAGCUUCAAAAAACAUAAUUUGUUUUAUGCAAAUGCAACGAGAUGCCACACUCUCAAUAAUGUCGACAUGAAAAAGGAAAAUAAGACUAAUAUGCCCAUGAGAAUAUCCCCAAGAUUCCCCAUGCAAACGAGAGUAGCUACAGUAAUUAUAUAAUACAAAUCAUGUCUUAUAUAUUCAGUUAUCCCUUAUUGUCAAUUAUUUACAAAGCCUACCAUAAUUUUCAUUAAGCAAACAUACAUUGAAUAAUUACAUAUAUUGACGCAGUAAUAUAUUUCGAACACGAUGAUAGAGAUACACAUACUCCCUAAACAUGAUCCAAAGUACUCAUAAAUCUACCAAGCUACAAAACGGUGUCCAACAUUUGAUUAUUUGUAAUGGUUAUUUAUAUAUCUUCGGUGGGUGUCUCCUCAUCGGUAUCAGGCAAAUUAAAGAAAACAAAAGCAAAUAAGUUUCUAAAUUGCCCGUACGUGUGAAGUUUGAACAAUUUAUUAGUAAUGCAGUAGUAAUGCAUGAUACCGAUUAUUUAUUCAUGAAUCGACGUUGACGGGAAGAAAAAUAAUAAUUGAUGUUGACAUGAAUAAGGAGAGCUUGCCACGAAGAUGGUAGGAGCCGACAGAAAGCUAAAGUCCAUAAUUAAUUAUUUUGUUAAAAGAUAGUACUAAUGAUCGACUAUAGACCAUAACUUAGUAUUCCUCAUUUAUUAUUGUCUAUUUUCUACCAGCGAUGAUAAACACAAAUGAAACACACAGCAAAUUGUAAAUUCUGAUUCGAGAUGCAAUCUUAGAAACCUUAGCAAAGAAAACUUUAGAAUGCAACCAAACCAACUCAAAGUAAACCGAAAGAAUUAAUUGAGUCGAUGUUCCAGUUUUUGGAAGUAAAACCUCCAUUAUAUGCUGGUUAAUUACAUUUUUAUCAUUAAACUUUGAAAUGUUAUAAGAGAUCUAUGUUUAUUUAUUUAUUUGUGAUUAAUUAAUUCUCUGAUAUUUAUUGGAAAUAUUUGGAUUAUGCGGCCAAUAUAAUUUCUUUUAAGUGCUUGUAUAAUUAAAUAAAGUUGGUAGCCAUAUAGUCUAAAGUUGUGAUUGGUAUUUACGAUACUUUUUCCCUAAAGAUAAUUACUUUAAGAUGUUGACGAUGAAAUCCACGCGGUUUACGGAAUCUUCAGUUAACCGAGACAAUUAUUCCAUUCCAUCAAAUGUGAUUUGAGAAAUUAAUUGAAUGCUAAAUAUUUUCUCAAUCAUGGUUAACAUUUUAAUUUAGACUUCCGUAUACUUGACAUUUUCUUUUGCUUUUUGCUUUUUGUAUAUUGUUUACACUCUACAAACUUGAAUACACAAUAACAACAAACACAAUCCAUUAUCAGGUGUGCAACAUAAGUACAUUAAGUAGGGAACAAAACCAACGGCGAGACAGUGAAGCAACUUCUCUCGCACAAAAAAUCUUGUAAAAACAAUUGAUAAAAAGCGUUUAAAAUCGUCUGAUGUUAAGCGAAACAUAGGAAAUACAUAGUAUGAGGAUAUACAAUAACUUGCUACCUAUAACUAAACAGUAUAUAGAUUUAUCGCUAAUUAUUGAAUUUGUUUAGACUAAUGAUUGUGCUACUUUUGUAAUCUCUAAAUUAUCAAAACUUAUUGGACCAUAUAAAAUUAAGUGGAAGGUUGUUUCAUAUUGUAUAAAUAUCAUAUCGGAGACUUGGCAUUUCCGAUGAUAUUUUUACGUACACAUCCCAUUCGUAUCAUCUAAGGACACCACUUUGGUCAGUACAAGUGUACAACAUCUUUGGUCUUUUUUUCGUCAUCCUUUUGACGCAAUUAUAUGUAACUUUAGUGUUGUCUUAUUUUCUUUUGCCUCUUCGAUCUCUCUUUUUUUUAUUACUACUUUUAGAGCUACACUUUACGUUGCUAAAAAAAAAACUACACUUUAGAGCAUCUCCAAAAAACAUUAUAUAACUUCAAAUAUGAAGUUUUUUGCUCUCCAAAAAAGAACUUCAAAACUUCAAAUUUAAAGUUUUGAGGAGUCAAACUCUAUAUUUGAAGUUUCACUACUCAAAACUUCAAAUUUGAAAUUUCAUAUUUUUAUUUGUAUUUUGGUCCAUACAAUUACACAUCACAUUUAUAAUUCAUAAUUUUUUUAUUAUUAUUUUCAUCCUUAUAAAAAUUAUAUCUCAUAAGUAUUUUAAGUUUUGUUUACAAAAUUUAAGUUUACACAUAAAAUUAAAUAAAACUUUAAAAGAAGAUUUAAAAUAUUUAAAACUAGAUUUAGAUAACAAAAAUAUACAAAAAAACUUAACAAUUUUUUUUUAAGAAAUUACAUGAAGACAUAACUAUUAGACAAAUUUAAAUAUUACAAUGACACUAAUAGUCAGGUAAUUUUAAUCCGGAACCUUUAAAAUUUCCAAAUAUUGUCCAAUUUUUUUUGUGUAAUUGAAGAUGAUUGUUGUUGUUGAUGAUGUCUUUUCGUACAAUUAUUUCUUGUUCUUAUAUUCACGAGUAUUAAUAUCAUCGAUAAAAGUUAGUUUUUAGCAAUAUUUUAUGUUUUUCUUUUACUUUCUUGUUCUGAUCUAAUGUAUUUACAAGUAUGAAUAUCUCCUGAUUUCAACAAUUUUUUAUCUCUAAUCUACAAAUUAAAAAUGAGGAGAGCUAUUUUUCCUUCGAAAUGCACUAGUAUAUCAUAUAUGCAUUACGAAAAUCGCUUUAUGGAAUAAUAUGGUAUUUUGGUUGAAGCUUAAUAUUAAUUAAGUUAUUUUGUUUAAAAUUUUAUAUUUUAAUAUAAUAAUUUAUUAAUUAAUAUUGUUGUAAUAUGUUUAUAUAUGUGUUAGUUAUUUAAUUUUUUUUUAUGAAUUCAAAUUAGUAAUGACAAAUAUAAGGACCAUAUUAUAAAAUACAAAUAGUUUUGAAGUUAAGUUUGAAGUUUUGCUUUUGGAGAAAAACACCUUUAAACUUCAAAUAUAGAGUUUUGAAAACUUCAAAAUAGAGUUCAUUUUUGGAGACGCUCUUACAAGCCAUUUUUCAAUUUAUGUGUUGUGUGGUUUGAUUAUAUUGGAUGAAUUCAAAUAUAUUUUCAAAGCAUCAAAUGCUUUAUUUUCUUUUUGGUAAAUUUCAGUUAAGCUCUAGAUAACGACAAAAGAUAACUAUAUUCUAAACCUGAUUUCUAUAACUAGAGCUCUCUUCCAAUGAUAAAACUAAACACCUAUACAAAACCCAAAUUUUGCGGCAGGGCCAAGUUAAGAAAGACAAAUACCGAGAAGUGAGUUAACUUCAACAAAUGUAAAAGAACAUUAAAAUUUUAAAAUAAUAGAAAAUGAUAAACAAAAGCAAAGACGAUGGACCACACACAAAAUAAUAGCAAGUGAGCAGGACGAAAAAUGGAAAAAGAAGAAGAAAGGGAUAAGAAAAAUAGUUGGUAAAAUCUAACUGCCACAAUACUAGAAAAAGAGCAUAGAAAUGGGAAGGCAAACAGAGAAGCCUAAUUGGCUAAUGUCCAACGCAUGUCACUCUACCUACAAAUCUCAGUGGUCCUUAACAUCUACUUCUAACCAACCUCUUGAGUACAAUUAUCUAGAAAAUGCAUACAUACACAUAAGUCACGUAACAAAACCAUUACUGACAUCACCAUGUUAUAUCAUCAUGCCUUUAUGAAAUUAACAAACAUUGUUUUAGUCGUGAUAUACAGAAGAUAACAGCUAUCGGACCAAUAAUCUGCCUUGAUGAUAGGAGAUAUUUUUCGUACCAAUUGUUUAUUUUUAAUAUUUUACUUACCAUCCUUUAUUUUUGGGACGCGGAGAAUUUCAUGUAACAAAGAGCUCAAGACCAGAUGGUAAGGCCCCUUGCUUCCCUAGUGUGUGGGUGGGUUUUUGUUUUUGAAGAAACAAUAUUUAUGAGAAGAUGUCACUUUCUAAAAUUCUUAUUGGAUUAGGUAUUUUUUGGAACUGCGUUAUUAAAAACUACCCACUUUUUACAAUCUGUUCAUUAAAAACUUGUCAAAAAUAUGUUCUGGUCUAUCAAAACUUGCUCAUCACUUAGUAAUAAUGCUCCUUUUUAACUAAACACUUAAACUUAGUCGAUUAGAAACCAAACUAGUAUAUAUUUUGCACAUAUAUAUAUCUUACAAGUAACUCAUCCAUAGACAAGUUUAUAGGUGCUAGAUCUCGAAGCUGGACAUGUUUUGAUAGAACAUAACGUACUUUUGAACAAGUUCUGAUAGAAAAUAUCAAAAGUGGUAGUUUCUAAUACUUUUUUUUCUUAAUAUGGUAGAUCCAAAAGAUUUUGUUUUAAAAGGGCUAAAUGAGGAAAAACCUAAAUAGUGUAAUAAAAUAAUUAUACAAGAGGAAUUUAACACUUUUGAUUUAUUGUAGUACUGAUUCAUUGUAACGUCUUGAUGCGUCAACGUGAGCCCAUGUACAUAUUCUUAUCAAUGGGUUUCACCCUCUUCGAUAUCUUGCGCGUUAUCGAAAGAGUUCAAAAGAACUGAUAUAACCCUGUAACAUGAUCAUAUCCCAUAUUUUGUCCUAACUCAUACGAUAUUAAGAUUGAUCAGCAAUCAGCAAUCUGAUAGGUUAUCCAUUUUUUAAUUAGUCCAGUUCAAACAUAUUCAAAUGGUUAACUGGAAAAUCAAGUGUAUUUUAUAUCAGAGGCAACCAACAUCAAUUUUUAUGUCUUUUCUAUUUAAUCUACUAACUGGGGUAUUACGUACGUUGAUCCCACAGUCCGCAAUAGCAUCUCCAGCUACUGAGACUCUAACCCUACCUUAACUUCUGACAUGCUUUUUUGGUUUUCAACUUCUUAAGACCUAGUCUGCUUGAUAUCACGGAUUGCGAUCUCUUCUUCAACAAUCUCUCUGCAUGAUUGCGAUCUCUUCCUCCUCUAUGCUGUUUAUACUUGGACAAAGUAUUUUCUUCUAUUGAAGUAUAAAAUCUAUGGGUCUUUGCCCGUAGCAAACACUAUCUGGCCUGGGCUGUAUCAUCUUUGUAUCUUUUUAUUUAAAUAGCAAACUUAUCCUCAAAAACAAAUAUACCACCAUAAUUACAAAUUACAAUAUCGGCCUAAUCAUUUUCAAUAUGUUAGAUGAAGCCCAGUAUAUUCAACAAGCCCAUUAUAUUUUUAGUCUCGAAUUCAAUUUUAUUAACUCAGAUCCACCUACUCCUACCGGUCAUUAUCCCUUGAAACUCCUGAACAAGAUGGCAUCAGAUCUUACCGGGCGCUUUUAUGUCAGUAGAAGAAGCUUACCUCCAAAUCCUCAGUGUUUAUGUAUGUUUAACGCAGCCAAAACAACACGUUUUGUGUAAUAUUAAUUCCCAGUGUCUUUUUGUUCAUUGUAAUGCCAUUGGUUGUAACAUUAAUGCACAACUUCAACUGAACACUACCAAUAAAAACGUUUGUGAAAAAAGGUAAAUGUUAUUGCCAGUGAUCUAGACUCGUUACCAGUUUUAGGUCGGAAGGAAGCAUCAGUCCCAUUUAGUUUAUGGUUAACACGUUUUUUAGUUGAUUAGUGCGUAAUAAUGACCUGAAAUUAUAGCCUAUUCUCCGCUACAGUUAGAAGCAACGUAGCAUUCUGAUGAAGACUUGAUCUGUUUAAACCACACCUAACCCAUCGUUGCACCAAACUUUCUUUUUUUCAUUCAUACUUCAAGAAAUCUCAAUGCUCCUAAACUCUUUAUAUAACACACACAAUACUUCACCAAUUGUGACUUGGAGCUUCCAUCUCAAACACAAUGGAUUCAACUUCAAUCAUUUGGUCUCUUCUAUUAGCUUUUGCUCUUAUCUCUCCCUUUAGUGUCAAUGCACAAGGACCUGCCGCUUCACCAGCAACCCCCACCACCACUACUCCUCCUCCAACCAUCACUGUUCCUCCACCAACAACCACUGCUACGCCACCAACAACCACUGUUCCCCCCCCAACAACCACUGCUCAGCCUCCAACAACAGUCGUUCCGCCCGUUUCAGCUACUCCGCCACCAGCAACACCGACUACACCUCCACCAGCAGUUACUCCAACUUCAUCACCACCAGCUCCAAAGGUUGCACCAGUAAUCAGUCCAGUAACUCCACCUCCACAACCACCACCAAGCCCGCCCGUUUCAGCUCCAACCGUCUCACCACCACCAGCUACACCACCACCUGCACCGGCCUCUCCUCCACCGGCGUCACCACCUGCACCAACUUCUCCACCACCAGCACCAGCCUCACCCCCUCCAGCGCUUACGCCAAUAACUCUACCACCAGCUCCAGCUCCUGCUAAGCACAAGAAAAAGCACAAACACAAGCGGCAUCACCAUGCCCCGGCUCCAGCACCAACUCCUCCAAGCCCUCCAUCUCCUCCAGUUCUAACAGAUUCCCAGGACACUGCUCCAGC